rnacentral:rRNA from 1 species
GACGAACGCUGGCGGCGUGCCUAAUACAUGCAAGUCGAACGCAUUUUCUUUCACCGUAGCUUGCUACACCGAAAGAAAAUGAGUGGCGAACGGGUGAGUAACACGUGGGUAACCUGCCCAUCAGCGGGGGAUAACACUUGGAAACAGGUGCUAAUACCGCAUAAUUCCAUUUACUGCAUGGUAGAUGGAUGAAAGGCGCUUUUGCGUCACUGAUGGAUGGACCCGCGGUGCAUUAGCUAGUUGGUGGGGUAACGGCCUACCAAGGCUGCGAUGCAUAGCCGACCUGAGAGGGUGAUCGGCCACACUGGGACUGAGACACGGCCCAGACUCCUACGGGAGGCAGCAGUAGGGAAUCUUCGGCAAUGGACGCAAGUCUGACCGAGCAACGCCGCGUGAGUGAAGAAGGGUUUCGGAUCGUAAAACUCUGUUGUUAGAAAAGAACAAGGAUGAGAGUGGAAAGUUCAUCCCUUGACGGUAGCUAACCAGAAAGCCACGGCUAACUACGUG